rnacentral:rRNA from 1 species
CCUACGGGUGGCAGCAGUGAGGAAUAUUGGUCAAUGGACGGGAGUCUGAACCAGCCAAGCCGCGUGCAGGAUGACGGUUCUCUGAGUUGUAAACUGCUUUUGUACGGGGAUAAAUCUGGAUACGUGUAUCCUGCUGAAUGUACCUUACGAAUAAGGAUCGGCUAACUCCGUGCCAGCAGCCGCGGUAAUACGGAGGAUCCGAGCGUUAUCCGGAUUUAUUGGGUUUAAAGGGUGCGUAGGGGGAUUGUUAAGUUAGAGGUGAAAGGUCGGGGCUUAACACGGGCACUGCCUUUAAGACUGGCAGUCUAGAGUGGAGUAGAGGUAGGCGGAAUGUGUGGUGUAGCGGUGAAAUGCUUAGAUAUCAUACAGAACUCCGAUUGCGAAGGCAGCUUACCGGUCUAAAACUGACGCUGAGGCACGAAAGCGUGGGGAGCAAACAGGAUUAGAUACCCCAGUAGUC